GACGAACGCUGGCGGCGUGCCUAAUACAUGCAAGUAGAACGCAGUUGCGAACGGGUGAGUAACGCGUAGGUAAAUGCCUGGUAGCGGGGGGUAACUAUUGGAAAAGAUAGCUCAUACAGCAUACUACCAGAUGGACCUGCGUUGUAUUAGCUAGUUGGUGAGGUAACGGCUCACCAAGGCAACGAUACAUAGCCGAACCGGUGGGGUUGUCGGGCAAACUGGGACUGAGACACGGGCCAAACUUCGUCCGGAGGGAGCAGGAGGGAAUCUUCGGCAAUGGGGGGAACCUCGACCGGGCAACGCCCGGGGAGUUAAGAAGGUCUUUGGAUCGGAAAGCCCUGUUGUUAAGGAAGCGGUACUUAACCAGAAAGGGACGGCUAACUACGUGCCAGCAGCCGCGGUAAUUC
rnacentral:rRNA from 1 species